AACGAACGCUGGCGGCAGGCUUAACACAUGCAAGUCGAACGCCCCGCAAGGGGAGUGGCAGACGGGUGAGUAACGCGUGGGAACGUGCCCUUCGCUUCGGAAUAGCCCCGGGAAACUGGGAGUAAUACCGGAUACGCCGUAUUGGGAAAGAUUUAUCGGCGAAGGAUCGGCCCGCGUUAGAUUAGCUAGUUGGCGGUGUAAUGGACCACCAAGGCUACGAUCUAUAGCUGGUCUGAGAGGAUGAUCAGCCACACUGGGACUGAGACACGGCCCAGACUCCUACGGGAGGCAGCAGUGAGGAAUCUUGGACAAUGGGCGCAAGCCUGAUCCAGCCAUGCCGCGUGAGUGAAGAAGGCCUUAGGGUUGUAAAACUCUUUCGCCGGAGAAGAUAAUGACGGUAUCCGGAGAAGAAGCCCCGGCUAACUUCGUGCCAGCAGCCGCGGUAAU
rnacentral:rRNA from 1 species